rnacentral:rRNA from 1 species
GACGAACGCUGGCGGCGUGCUUAACACAUGCAAGUCGAACGGAAAGGCCCUGCUUUUGUGGGGUGCUCGAGUGGCGAACGGGUGAGUAACACGUGAGUAACCUGCCCUUGACUUUGGGAUAACUUCAGGAAACUGGGGCUAAUACCGGAUAGGAGCUCCUGCUGCAUGGUGGGGGUUGGAAAGUUUCGGCGGUUGGGGAUGGACUCGCGGCUUAUCAGCUUGUUGGUGGGGUAGUGGCUUACCAAGGCUUUGACGGGUAGCCGGCCUGAGAGGGUGACCGGCCACAGUGGGACUGAGAUACGGCCCAGACUCCUACGGGAGGCAGCAGUGGGGAAUAUUGCACAAUGGGCGGAAGACUGAUGCAGCAACGCCGCGUGCGGGAUGACGGCCUUCGGGUUGUAAACCGCUUUCGCCUGUGACGAAGCGUGAGUGACGGUAAUGGGUAAAGAAGAACCGGCUAAAUACGUG